rnacentral:rRNA from 1 species
UACGUAGGGUGCAAGCGUUAAUCGGAAUUACUGGGCGUAAAGCGUGCGCAGGCGGUGAUGUAAGACAGAUGUGAAAUCCCCGGGCUCACCUGGGAACUGCAUUUGUGACUGCAUCGCUGGAGUACGGCAGAGGGGGAUGGAAUUCCGCGUGUAGCAGUGAAAUGCGUAGAUAUGCGGAGGAACACCGAUGGCGAAGGCAAUCCCUGGGCCUGUACUGACGCUCAGUGCACGAAAGCGUGGGGAGCAAACAGG